UACGGGAGGCAGCAGUGGGGAAUAUUGCACAAUGGGCGCAAGCCUGAUGCAGCCAUGCCGCGUGUAUGAAAAAGGCCUUCGGGUUGUAAAGUACUUUCAGUCGUGAGGAAGGUGUUAAGGUUAAUAACCUUAGCAAUUGACGUUAGCGACAGAAGAAGCACCGGCUAACUCCGUGCCAGCAGCCGCGGUAAUACGGAGGGUGCGAGCGUUAAUCGGAAUUACUGGGCGUAAAGGGCACGCAGGCGGUUAAUUAAGUUGGAUGUGAAAUCCCCGGGCUUAACCUGGGAAUGGCAUUCAAGACUGGUUAGCUAGAGUCUUGUAGAGGGGGUAGAAUUCCAUGUGUAGCGGUGAAAUGCGUAGAAAUGUGGAGGAAUACCGGUGGCGAAGGCGGCCCCUGGACAAAGACUGACGCUCAUGUGCGAAAGCGUGGGGAGCAAACGAGGGAUUAGAUACC
rnacentral:rRNA from 1 species